UAAUUUAAAUGCCACAGGAAACAAACUUGAUGUGUGUGUGUAUGCGUGGGGGAUGGGGUGCUCAAUUUUAGGCGGUCUUGUGUAAUUUGCUCUGCUCUUUUUGGGGGUGCCUAGAGGUGGAUUGGUGGGGCCACUUGAGGCUCGGUGAAGCCCUGCCCCAUCCUCCUCCUGUAUCCCAAGGCAUAUGCGGUGUUGGAGGGGCCCCCACCAACCCCCAAAGCUUUAGGCACAACUCGAACUGGCUGUGUAUGAGGUCCACCCUGCUUCUCUCCCCAUCUUGGCUGCUGUCCUGCCCUGACCCUGACCAGUACCCUCCCCCCCACCAUUGUUGAAUGUCCAGAGAAUUGCUAAGACAGUGCCUUUCACAAAUGCAGCCUAUCCCCUGGUUCUGAGGAGCAAGUGGGCAGUGAAGAGGGCAUCUCCCUUACCUCCUCCUCUUGCAGUAGAAACUUUGUGUAAUAGAUAGUUCUGCCUUUUUUUUUUUCCCCCCGUGUGUGUGGCCUUUGCAUCAUUUAUCUUGUGGAAAAGAAGACUGAGGCCACAGAAGACCUCAGCCCUUGAACUUCCACUGUGGUGUCAGCAUUGUAAACCGCUUCACCCCCUUCUUCCACGCCCCCCACCCAGGAGCCCGCACUAGCAAGGCAGAUGGGGAAGUCUCACCUCGCACUAGCAAGGCAGAUGGGGACGUCUCACCUCGGGGCCCGUAGUGGAGAGGUGGAAGGGGGGGGGGUUGACCUCAGAUAAGCACAGACCCCAGAUUUUGCCAAAGGCAAACAGUCCUCCAGUGCCCUCCCCACCCGCAGCUGAGGCCAAGUCAGGAAAGAACAAUAGGCACCUAAAAGCACAAGAAGACAGAACCUGUGAGAUCUGACCUCAGCUCCAUCCCAAGAAGUCAAGUGGUCUGCCCCCUGAGGGGCAGACCCCAACAGACCCCUGCCCACCAGUUUUUCCUCCAAUGGACAUAGGUCAGAUCGGGACGAGGGGAGGAGGCAAGACUAUCACAGCCUGUGUGUUUGGGGUCAGGUGUCCCCCAAUGGGUUUGUCUGUGUUCACACCUCGUCCUGUGUCUGAGGUGCUAUGGCUGUAUCCUCCUCCUGGGACAUCUGUAUCUCCUGGCUUUGUAAUAAAUGCUGCAUACUCUC
rnacentral:lncRNA from 1 species